GGGAGGGAUCCGGUAAGAACCCCUAGAUAUAUAAGAACCCUAGAUAUAUAAGAAUCCAUCUCAACCGUAGGAUCAAGUUGUUUUAGACGGUUAAGAUUAAAACACGUGUCCAACUUUUUCAACCCCCUUACCCACCUCCCAACCUUUUCUCUCUCCUCUAACUUUCUUUCCCUUCUUCCCGAUUCUCUCAUUUUCUCUCUCCUAAAACCCCCAAAAAUCUGAUAGAAGUUGCAAUUUGAAGGAUUUUCGCUUCAGUUGAAGGCAUUUGGUGAAUUUUAUGAAGAAAUUGAUAACAAGAGUGUCGUUUUGUCCACUUUCGAAACAAGAAACAUUGAGAUGAAAUGGAAGAGCAAUGCAAACAAACAUGAUUGUGGAGUAUUUUUGUUGAAGCACAUGGAAACCUAUGAAGGACAAUGUCAAAAACAAUGAAAUUCGGGGCUAGAGAAGGGUAAUUUUGAGCAAAUGAAAAGGUUAUGAGUGGAGUAUUGUGGGAAGAUUAUAACAUCAGAAGUAAAUGAAGAACGGAAAAGAGUGAUGAAGAUGGCUAGAAAGUGGUCAAAGCUGAACAAAAAUUGAUAUAUGAUUGUGUAAAUCUUAAGUUUAUAUCUUUAGACAUAUAUUUAAAACAAUAUAUAGUACAUUUUUUGUACAAAUAUGGAGAUGACUAUUUUGAACAUGGGUAUCAUUUGGAAUAUUAAUAUCAUUUGAAACAUUAACCUGAUUUGAAACAUUAUUUUUAUAAUGUUCUAAAGUAUUUCUGAUUUGGAAUAAGCUUAAGUUUUUCUUUCGUACAAUGAAGAAGGAAGAGGAAAGGAA